rnacentral:rRNA from 1 species
AUUGGGAAGAACCAACAGGGGAUUGCCCCAGUAACGGCGAGUGAAGCGGCAACAGCUCAAAUUUGAAAUCUGGCCCCAGGCCCGAGUUGUAAUUUGCAGAGGAUGCUUUUGGCGCGGUGCCUUCCGAGUUCCCUGGAACGGGACGCCAUAGAGGGUGAGAGCCCCGUACGGUUGGACACCAAGCCUUUGUAAAGCUCCUUCGACGAGUCGAGUAGUUUGGGAAUGCUGCUCAAAAUGGGAGGUAUAUUUCUUCUAAAGCUAAAUAUUGGCCAGAGACCGAUAGCGCACAAGUAGAGUGAUCGAAAGAUGAAAAGCACUUUGAAAAGAGGGUUAAACAGCACGUGAAAUUGUUAAAAGGGAAGCGCUUGUGACCAGACUUGCGCCCGGUGAAUCACCCAGCUCUCGCGGCUGGGGCACUUUGCCGGCACAGGCCAGCAUCAGCUCGCCGUCGGGGACAAAAGUAGGGGGAACGUAGCUCCCUUCGGGGAGUGUUAUAGCCCCCUACAUAAUACCCUUCGGCGGGCUGAGGUACGCGCUCCGCAAGGAUGCUGGCGUAAUGGUCACCAGCGACCCGUCUUGAAACACGGACCAAGGAGUCAACCUUAUGUGCGAGUGUUUGGGUGUCAAACCCCUACGCGUAAUGAAAGUGAACGCAGGUGAGAGCUUCGGCGCAUCAUCGACCGAUCCUGAUGUUCUCGGAUGGAUUUGAGUAAGAGCAUAUAGGGUUGGACCCGAAAGAAGGUGAACUAUGCGUGUAUAGGGUGAAGCCAGAGGAAACUCUGGUGGAGGCUCGCAGCGGUUCUGACGUGCAAAUCGAUCGUCAAAUAUGCGCAUGGGGGCGAAAGACUAAUCGAACCUUCUAGUAGCUGGUUUCCGCCGAAGUUUCCCUCAGGAUAGCAGUGUUGAACUCAGUUUUAUGAGGUAAAGCGAAUGAUUAGGGACUCGGGGGCGCUAUAUUGCCUUCAUCCAUUCUCAAACUUUAAAUAUGUAAGAAGCCCUUGUUACUUAAUUGAACGUGGCAUUCGAAUGUAUCAACACUAGUGGGCCUUUUUGGUAAGCAGACUGGCGAUGCGGGAUGAACCGAACCCCAGGUUAAGGUGCCAGAAAAAUCCCCCAUCCAAACCCCACAAAGGGGUUAGAAAUCUUGAAGCAGGACGUGGCCUGGAAUCGGAAUCCGCUAAGGAGGGGUAACACCCCCUGCCAAGGACAACCCGAAAAAGGAGGGGCCCAACCCCCCCCCUCCCCCCCCCCUUAAAAAAGCCUAAAGAGUGGCGGGGGGGGGGGGGAAACCGGGGGGGGCCCGGAACCCCCUUGGAUUUUGGGGAAAAGACUUAAAAGAAAAAAACACGGUGAGUC